GAUGAACGCUGGCGGCGUGCCUAAUACAUGCAAGUCGAGCGAACGGACGAGAAUCUUGCUUUUCUGAUGUUAGCGGCGGACGGGUGAGUAACACGUGGAUAACCUACCUAUAAGACUGGGAUAACUUCGGGAAACCGGAGCUAAUACCGGAUAAUAUUUUGAACCGCAUGGUUCAAAAGUGAAAGACGUUCUUGCUGUCACUUAUAGAUGGAUCCGCGCUGCAUUAGCUAGUUGGUAAGGUAACGGCUUACCAAGGCAACGAUGCAUAGCCGACCUGAGAGGGUGAUCGGCCACACUAGAACUGAGACACGGUCCAGACUCCUACGGGAGGCAGCAGUAGGGAAUCUUCCGCAAUGGGCGAAAGCCUGACGGAGCAACGCCGCGUGAGUGAUGAAGGUCUUCGGAUCGUAAAACUCUGUUAUUAGGGAAGAACAUAUGCGUAAGUAACUGUGCACAUCUUGACGGUACCUAAUCAGAAAGCAACGGCUAACUACGUG
rnacentral:rRNA from 1 species